rnacentral:rRNA from 1 species
GGGCGAGGUUGCUCGGUAACUGAGCUAGCGGCGGACGGGUGAGUAAUGCUUAGGAAUCUGCCUAUUAGUGGGGGACAACAUUCCGAAAGGAAUGCUAAUACCGCAUACGCCCUACGGGGCGAAAGCAGGGGAUCUUCGGACCUUGCGCUAAUAGAUGAGCCUAAGUCAGAUUAGCUAGUUGGUGGGGUAAAGGCCUACCAAGGCGACGAUCUGUAGCGGGUCUGAGAGGAUGAUCCGCCACACUGGGACUGAGACACGGCCCAGACUCCUACGGGAGGCAGCAGUGGGGAAUAUUGGACAAUGGGCGCAAGCCUGAUCCAGCCAUGCCGCGUGUGUGAAGAAGGCCUUUGGGUUGUAAAGCACUUUAAGCGAGGAGGAGGCUACUUGGAUUAAUACUCUAGGAUAGUGGACGUUACUC